AGAGUUUGAUUCUGGCUCAGGAUGAACGCUGGCGGCGUGCCUAAUACAUGCAAGUCGAACGGAGAUUGUAGCAAUACAUUCUUAGUGGCGAACGGGUGAGUAACGCGUUGGUGACCUGCCCCGAAGUGUGGGAUAACAGCUCGAAAGGGUUGCUAAUACCGCAUGUGGUUUUUCGGAUUAGAUGCCGAAUUUCUAAAGGAGAAAUUCGCUUCGGGAGGGGCCUGCGUCCCAUCAGCUAGUUGGUAGGGUAAUGGCCUACCAAGGCGAUGACGGGUAGGGGACCUGAGAGGGUGGCCCCCCACAAUGGAACUGAAACACGGUCCAUACACCUACGGGUGGCAGCAGUAGGGAAUAUUGGUUAAUGGGCGAAAGCCUGAACCAGCAACGCCGCGUGUGCGAUGACGGCCUUCGGGUUGUAAAGCACUUUUUGAGGGGAUGAGGAAGGACAGUACCCUCAGAAUAAGUCUCGGCUAACUACGUGCCAGCAGCCGCGGUAACACGUAGGAGACUAGCGUUAUUCGGAUUUACUGGGCGUAAAGCGCGUGCAGGCGGUUCGGUAAGUUGGAUGUGAAAGCUCCCGGCUUAACUGGGAGAGGUCGUUCAAUACUGUCGGACUUGAGAGUGGUAGAGGGAGGUGGAAUUCCGGGUGUAGUGGUAAAAUGCGUAGAUAUCCGGAAGAACACCAGUGGCGAAAGCGGCCUCCUGGACCAUUUCUGACGCUCAGACGCGAAAGCUAGGGUAGCGAACGGGAUUAGAGACCCCGGUAGUCCUAGCUGUAAACGAUGUAGACUUGGCGUUGGAGGUGUUAAAUCCUUCAGUGCCGAAGCAAACGCGAUAAGUCUACCGCCUGGGGACUACGGCCGCAAGGUUAAAACUCAAAGGAAUUGACGGGGCCCCGCACAAGCGGUGGAGCAUGUGGUUUAAUUCGAUGCAACGCGAAGAACCUUACCUGCCCUUGACAUCCAGAGAAUCUGUUAGAGAUAGUAGAGUGCCUUCGGGAGCUCUGAGACAGGUGCUGCAUGGCUGUCGUCAGCUCGUGUCGUGAGAUGUUGGGUUAAGUCCCGUAACGAGCGCAACCCUUAUCCUUAGUUGCCAGCGGUUCGGCCGGGAACUCUAGGGAGACUGCCGGUGAUAAACCGGAGGAAGGUGGGGACGACGUCAAGUCAUCAUGGCCCUUAUGGGUAGGGCUACACACGUGCUACAAUGGUCGGUACAGAGGGCAGCGAAACCGCGAGGUCAAGCAAAUCCCACAAAGCCGAUCCUAGUCCGGAUUGCAGUCUGCAACUCGACUGCAUGAAGUCGGAAUCGCUAGUAAUCGCAGAUCAGAAUGCUGCGGUGAAUACGUUCCCGGGCCUUGUACACACCGCCCGUCACACCAUGGGAAUGGGUUGCAAAAGAAGUAGGUAGUUUAACCUUCGGGAGGGCGCUUACCACUUUGUGAUUCAUGACUGGGGUGAAGUCGUAACAAGGUAACCAAGGGCGAAUUCGCGGC
rnacentral:rRNA from 1 species